rnacentral:rRNA from 1 species
UACAGAGGUCUCAAGCGUUGUUCGGAUUCAUUGGGCGUAAAGGGUGCGUAGGCGGCGGGGUAAGUCGGAUGUGAAAUCCUGGGGCUCAACCUCAGAACUGCAUUCGAUACUGCUCUGCUUGAGUACUGGAGAGGAGACUGGAAUUUACGGUGUAGCAGUGAAAUGCGUAGAUAUCGUAAGGAAGACCAGUGGCGAAGGCGAGUCUCUGGACAGUUACUGACGCUGAGGCACGAAGGCCAGGGGAGCAAACGGG